UCCCUGGUGGCUCAGAUGGUAAAGUGUCUGCCUGCAAUGCGGGAGACCCGGGUUCGAUUCCUGGGUCGGGAA
rnacentral:tRNA from 1 species